rnacentral:rRNA from 1 species
UACAGAGGGGGCUAGCGUUAUUCGGAAUUAUUGGGCGUAAAGGGCGCGUAGGCGGCCAUGCGUGUCUUCCGUGAAAUCCCUCGGCUUAACUGAGGACGUGCGGAAGAAACUGCAAGGCUCGAGUCCGGGAGAGGGGGGUGGAAUUCCCAGUGUAGCGGUGAAAUGCGUAGAUAUUGGGAGGAACACCAGUGGCGAAGGCGAGUCUCUGGACAUUUCCUGACGCUGAGGCACGAAAGCCAGGGGAGCAAACGGG